UGACCGUCGGACCUUGAGCACCCGGUCUCGAGUGGCUUUGCCUUGAAUGUUGUAUGGUGUUCGACUUGCCCACCCUAGUUGUUGUCCACGCAGUUGUUCCCUCCUGAGUUGGUUUGCCUGUAUCUCUCCUGCCACGACUUUGAGUAUUCUCAGUGGGGGCUGCCUCCUCAAGGUCACUCGGCUUGGUGUAGUCUGCCUGGUGGUCACUUAAGGAGCUCCACCACCCCUACACCCCAUCCUUACUCUGCCGUGCCGAUGGUAUGGGCCACAUUACUUCCUUUUUUGAUGGAGAGGAGUAUCCAAGCUAAUCCGUGGUCAGGACCUUUUCUUCUAUGACAAUCGGAAUAAUCUCCAUGCGAUCAAUGAGUAUUAUGGCCUUCUGGCCUAUAUCCAAAGGGAAUUCCCAGGUUCCAGCCCUCAUGAUACCCAGGUAUCCUAGUCCCCUUUUCCUUCCCUUCUCAACCCCUUCAUUCAGGGCAAAAUAAAAAGAAAUAUCACAACCCUGUUGCUAUCCAGGGCUUUAAGCUCUUUUUUACUCCACAACCCCUUCACUCAGGGAAACAAAAUCAAACGUGCAACAAAAAGGAAAAAGGCUAACUUUGAGUCAGACCGAGACUCCUGGUAGUCCCCUAUCUGUGUCUCUGGGGUCCUCACUCCCUUGAGGCUUCUCCUCCUAGUUAUGGCUCCCAAGUUGUCCCCCGUUGUCUUCUCCCUCUGGACCAGCCAGAACCGGGUGUCUCGGGUACUCCCCAUCUGUCUCUAUUUUUCUUCUGGCUUCAGGGCCACCGCCCUGCUCUUCCCGCAUCCCCCCUGUGGCUCUUCUUCAGACCUUCCUCACAUGGUUGUCUCUUCCUCCUCCCCUUCUUUCUCCCCGGCUCCCACCUGAUACUCUGUAGACUGCCACAGGCUUGUCCCUCCUUUCUUCACUCUUAUAGCCUCUGCCAUCGGCAGAGACUGUUUCUAAUUCUUCUAAGGAGCUGCCAGUGUAUUCCCUGCUGUCGCUGGCAAGCUCCCCUUCAGGGGCCUCCUCGGGCUCCCUUUCUGAGGCUUCGUAUUCCCUGAGCCCCUCCGCGUGUGCGUUAGCCUCCCGCACACUUCUCCCGCUCUCUCCUCCUCCCUUCUAGCUGCCGGUCGUCCUCUUUAUCUUUGCCAGCCAGCGUUUGUUGAUGACGUCACCUGCCAGUCUUAAUUGAAAAAAGAUGUGGCUGAUGAGUUGCAUGGGUUCUCCUCCUUGCCCCGGUUCCGUUGCUGCUCCUGCUGCGGCCAGCGAUGAGAAGACACAUGGAAGAGGUUCUGGCUCUCAUUGGUUCCAGAGAGGGAAACCCAGAAGUUAAACACAGGCUGAGCUACAGAUUCAGUUGCCCUGGAGAAGGAAUGCACAGGGGAACAGAAGACCAUUCAAGCUGCACAGAGGCAUGGCAGAUUAGCAGGAUUAAUUAGAGUAUCAAGAAACAGUCCACUAGCAAGGAAAAGGAGAUAUACAUACCUUGGACUACAGGGUGUCACAGGAUUCCUUCAGUGAGGGAUGAGAAGACUGUGAUCUGUGAAAUCUUGAUGGUAUGCGGUAUGUUGCAAAGGAUUUUACUAAAGGCACUGGAACUGACCUGUGCAACGCAUGAACAGGGAUUCUGGUUUUCUCUGGUAAAAAAAGUGCGAAUUCUCUGAUAAAAAAUCACAACUUCUCUAAUGAAAACCCUGAAAAUCCACGUUUUUCAGUGAUUAAAUUGAAACUCCACUAUAUAUAUAUAUAGUUAUUAAUUGAACACAAUGUUUUAUUGAUAUAGUUACAAAUUUUAAACAAUUUGGA